rnacentral:snoRNA from 1 species
AUGCAUCUCUGACAGACCUGGAGCAGUUUAUGCCUGCUGCUGAGGUUCCCACUACAGAGGCACGACAAAGAAGGUCCUCGCGCUUUCCGUCUGGUUGCGGCAGCCAAGAUCGAAUGGGGUAUACAGGA